ACAGCUUGGGACAAAAGUUCACGAAACACCGGGGUGUCGCAUUUCUCGAUUGGAGCGGCAGCCAACCAGUAAGCAGUCUCGGGCACACAUACCGAGUGAUGGACGGAAUAGCUGGUCUCACGUUUCUUAUUCGAUCCCUUCCUGACACGAGCGGGGGGCCGUUCCUAUGAAGAAAUAGGUAGAUAUCGUGUUCCGUACACUUUUGUCCCAAGCUGUACUCUUCCUUUUUGGUGUGGCUGCGGUUAUUACCAGGUAAUGCACAACGUUGUAUACAUCCAGGAGAGCGACACACUAACUCCUAGACGCUGAGACCUGGAACUUGUCGAUAACUUUUGCAUCGCUGAUUGAUAAGACAGAACCAUGGCAUCGCUGGAUGGAGGGACUCGAGCAAGCGGAAGGGUGGAACUUCGGGUAAACGCAUUUCAAGUGACCAUUGCCAGUCUGUUCACCCUGCUCGCAAUGUCGGUCCUUCUAUUUGGGGUGUACCUAUAUGCUCUGGUACACAGUGUGCUUGAAAGUGGCCGGUCAGUCAACGUCCUGUAUUCCGUCACAAGUGUGGCGAUGUUCUUCGAGAUCCCCCUUGCCGCUGCCGUCGUAAUGUACGGCAUCACCGUUGCACGACGUGACAACCCGUUUCCUGAACAUUGGCUUAUGCGCUUCCACAUCGCCAGUCUGUGUUGCUUCACCUUCGACUGCAUAUUCAUAAUGAUUCUCGCAUCCACAUUUCUCGUCUUCAGCAACGGAAUGCGUGCCUGAAUGGUACAAAUGCUACGUAAAUUAACGUAUAGAUGAUCCAAUAUUAAGCUGUAGUUUGCUGGUUGACCACAUUGCAGUGUAUUGUGUGCUGCGCGUGGUAUAUAUACUGUAAUAAACGCAUUAAGGAUCUGA